GAUGAAGAACGCAGCGAAAUGCGAUAAGUAAUGUGAAUUGCAGAAUUCAGUGAAUCAUCGAAUCUUUGAACGCACAUUGCGCCCGCCAGUAUUCUGGCGGGCAUGCCUGUUCGAGCGUCAUUUCAACCAUCAAGCCCCCGGCUUGUGUUGGGGACCUGCGGCUGCCGCAGGCCCUGAAAACCAGUGGCGGGCUCGCUGUCACACCGAGCGUAGUAGAUUUUCAUCUCGCUCAGGGCGUGCUGCGGGUUCCGGCCGUAAAAAGCCUUAUUUACCCAAGGUUGACCUCGGAUCAGGUAGGAAGACCCGCUGAAUUUAAGCAUAUCAAUAAGCGGAGGA
rnacentral:misc_RNA from 1 species